rnacentral:tRNA from 1 species
UGCCAGGUAGCCUAAUGGUAGGGCAAGAGGCUCUGAACCUCUGGACUGAGGGUUCGAGUCCCUCCCUGGCAACCA